rnacentral:lncRNA from 1 species
GCCGGAGCUGCAAGGAGAGAGGGGCUAAUCCACAGGCUCGUCUGCAAAGCCUAGAGGCACAUCUUUAGUAGCCAACAACUACUAUCAGAUUCAGAAGAAGUUUACAAUGAGUAAAGCAUUUUGGAGACCAAGCUCCCUGGAGCCUUAAUUUCUAAAUUUUCAAAAUUCAAACUUUUCAGUUGAAAAAAAUACACAUGUAUACAAUUUUAAAAUACACAUGUAUACAAGAAUGUAAUGUGUGUGUGUAUUUCAAAAGUAAAACUUUCCAGUUUUACCAAAAAAUACAAAUGUAUAUAAGAUGUAAUUUGUAUGUGUGUAAAAUUUUAGGGUGAAAUACAUUGAAUUGCAAGUAGCACAAAAGAAACAAAAUAAUGGACUUUGAGGAUGAACAAAACGUAUGCUAAAAAGUUUUAGUUUUGUUUUUCUAGCUCUCAUUUAAACAUAUUUUGACCUAAAAAUUUGCACAAAUGUAUAUUAUUAUAUAUCAAGGUAUAUGUGUAUGGUUUCAGAAUUUUAUAAAACUAAAUUUUUUGAAUUUUCAAGUUUUUAAAUUAACGCCUUCAUGAAGCUCGGUCGUCAUUUGGCAUUUUCGAUUUACAACGGGAUUCAAAGCUUACUAGCUGAGGAUAUAAUAUCUUCUUUUGAAUUGCAUAAAAUUUGACUUCACUACAAAACAUAUAGUAGUUAGAUGGUUAGAUGGAUGCAGAGUCAUCAUAUUCCUUAACUUAAGCUAUUAUAAUCAAACAUGCCAGCGAACCAACCUAUAUAAUUGGAUAAUUA